AAUAAACGCUGGCGGCGUGCCUAACACAUGCAAGUCGAGCGAGAAAGCUCCUUCGGGAGUUAGUAAAGCGGCGAACGGGUGAGCAACACGUGAGAAUCUACCCUUUAGUGAAGAAUACCCUCGAGAAAUCGAGGCUAAUACUGCAUACGUCCCUUCGGGGAGAAAGAUGGCCUCUUUGCUAUCGCUAAAGGAUGAGCUUGCGUACUAUUAGCUAGUUGGCGGGGUAAAGGCCCACCAAGGCAAUGAUGGUUAACCGGCCUGAGAGGGUGUACGACCACAAUGGGACUGAGACACGGCCCAUACUCCUACGGGAGGCAGCAGUGGGGAAUAUUGCACAAUGGGCGAAAGCCUGAUGCAGCGACGCCGCGUGGAGGAAGAAGGUCUUCGGAUUGUAAACUCCUGUUGAGUGAGAAGAAAGACGGCUGGUUAAUACCCAGCUGAGAUGACGGUAUCACUCGAGAAAGCACCGGCAAACUUCGUGCCAGCAGCCGCGGU
rnacentral:rRNA from 1 species